CGGUCGCGAUCGCGGUAACGGUUGCAGUUACUGUGAUUGCGAUCAUUGCGGCCGUUGCGAUGCGGAUUGCAGCCAUUGCGGUGUGAAUUAUUUUGUGAUUAAAACGAUAAUUUUGAAUCUAGUGCGGCUCGAUGCGACCUGAUGCGGUCCAAAUGCAGUCCGAUGCGAUUGCGUUGCGGCCCGAUGUAGUCACAUUAUUGUAAUUUGGAGUCACACUGCAAUUGCGGUGUGAUGCGGGUGCGGCGGUGAUGCGGCC